UCCAUCCAUCCAUCCAUCCAUCCUUCCAUCCCUGUGUCCAUCUCUCCCUCCCUCCCUGCCUCUAUCCACCCUUGUGUCCAUCCCUCCCACCUCUGCCAGCCUCCUGCACAGGUGCUCUUCCCAGUCGUCCUCGGGGGGUGACUCGGGGAUGAAAACCCAAUCGGCGCCGCAGGCCAGGGCUGUGAUCAGUGCCAGGACGUACCCGCAGUGCCGCCCCAUCACCUCCAGCACAAAAGUCCUCUGGUGGCUGCGGGGACAAGAAAGCGUCACCCACCCGGAAUGGGAACACCAGGGGGUUGGGGACAACGAGGAUGUCCUUGUCACCUCUGCGCCGUGGUGGUGAUGGCGUCCACAAUCUCUAUGAUGCGGUGCAGCGCCGAGUCGGUGCCGAUGGUCAUGUCGGUGCCACAGAAGUCGUUGUCGAUAGAGCCCACCAUGCCCACGAUGUUCAGGACGCCUUGAUUUUGGAACCAAAGCUCUUUUGGAAUCACAAACCUUCCCACACUCUCCUUUCCUGAUGUGGGACCCCCAAAAUGUCCCCUUAGAGGGAAGCAGUGCCACAAAUCUCUGUUUUGGGGGAAAACCCCAAAAUUUUGAGUGCCACAUCCUGAUUUUUUUAACCACAACCUCUUUUCCCUCUGUGUCCCCCCCUUAAAACAUCUUCAACAGUGCUCUAAACCUCCAUAAUUAGAGGAAAAAUCCAAUUUUUGAGUUUCACAUCCUGAUUUAAAACUAAACCUUUCCACACCCCUUGUUCUCUCUGUGUCCCCCCUCCAAAAUGUCCCCUUGGGGAGCAAAGGUGUCCUAAGCCUCCAUCAUUAGGGAAGAACCCCACAUUUUGUGUGCGAAAA